UCUAUUUUGGCAGAUUAGUGCGAUGAAUUUAGAAUUCAUAUAUGUAAAUAAUAUUACAGAUAGAA
rnacentral:tRNA from 1 species